GUACAUCCAAAAAGCGGCUCAAGAACAAGUGAAGAUAGACUGCGAGACAACAAACAUUACGACCAUUGGAUUAUGUCCAAAUUCAACAACACAUCUAAUGUAAUAUGGUCGCAUUAUAUCAACAAUACAACAGCUAAUUAACACCUUUUUUUCGCUUUCUCCUCAUCAUCUAGAUCUCGUUUCCCUUUGCAAAGAGUUAAAUUGAGGAAAAUCUCCAAAUAGUCAUUUUCAUCGUCAUAUGGCGAAACAUCACACCACUUGAAAUGCUUACAGUCACGGUACAGCAAUAGAACAUCCAUCCUUUGUUUGCACUAUUU
rnacentral:lncRNA from 1 species